rnacentral:rRNA from 1 species
UACGUAGGUGGCAAGCGUUGUCCGGAUUUAUUGGGUUUAAAGGGUGCGUAGGCGGUCUUUUAAGUCAGUGCUGAAAUACUCCAGCUUAACUGGAGGGGUGGCAUUGAUACUGGAAGACUUGAGUAUAGUUGAGGUAGGCGGAAUUGACGGUGUAGCGGUGAAAUGCUUAGAUAUCGUCAAGAACACCGAUAGUGAAGACAGCUUACUAAACUAUAACUGACGCUGAGGCACGAAAGCUAGGGGAGCGAACGGG